rnacentral:rRNA from 1 species
UACGAAGGGGGCUAGCGUUGCUCGGAAUUACUGGGCGUAAAGGGCGCGUAGGCGGGUCGUUUAGUUAGAGGUGAAAGCCCAGGGCUCAACCCUGGAAUUGCCUUUAAUACUGGCGGCCUUGAGUAUGGCAGAGGUGUGUGGAACUCCGAGUGUAGAGGUGAAAUUCGUAGAUAUUCGCAAGAACACCAGUGGCGAAGGCGGCUUACUGGUCCGGUACUGACGCUGAGGUGCGAAAGCGUGGGGAGCAAACAGG